GACGGCUGCUCCCCUCCUUUCCUCCCGCCACAAGCGCUCGCUGUGGUUCUGGCAGCGAAGUGCGAGACUGGGCUCGCCAGGCGGAAGUGGUUGGAGACUGCGUGUUUUCCUAGAAAGUCCUCGACCUUCGUCGGGGAGAGGAGGGGAGUGAUAAAUUGGAAGGCGGACAAGCGACAAGUGCGGUACUGGAAAGACCCAAACAUACUUGGUUGUGACCUCAGGUCACAUCUCCCAAGAAGCAGUAAUGUUCCAGCAAUAAGAAAAGGACAGUUUUUUGUCUUUUGCAUGGUGAGCCUUAUAUGAAUUACAUCAAUUUUGUCACCAAUAUCCAUCAUCAGAACAUUUUGCCUACUCACUGUGAAGACAAUAAGGAUGAAGACCUUUAUGACAAUCCACUUCCACUUAAUGAAUAAUGAGGAAACUGGGGCACAGAGAAAUUAAGUGACUUGUCCAGGAGGACAGGGCCAAUAACCGGUGGAACCAUAAGAAAAAAAUCCAGUAACAGCUUUGAAAAAGGAAGAUAACAAUGACCUGUGUGUACAGCGUCCAAGGGAACCAUUAGCAGUGGAGCUCCCCAGGCUCCUGGGACGACCAAGCACAUGGUCCAACCAACCAUCUUCUGACAAGGUAGGGGUGGGCAGUGGAAGGCAAAAAGAAUGGCUGCACUUGUGUUUCUGAAGGUCAGACCAAGAAAC
rnacentral:lncRNA from 1 species